rnacentral:rRNA from 1 species
AUGAACGCUGGCGGCGUGCCUAAUACCUGCAAGUCGAGCGAACAGACGAGGAGCUUGCUCCUCUGACGUUAGCGGCGGACGGGUGAGUAACACGUGGAUAACCUACCUAUAAGACUGGGAUAACUUCGGGAAACCGGAGCUAAUACCGGAUAAUAUAUUGAACCGCAUGGUUCAAUAGUGAAAGACGGUUUUGCUGUCACUUAUAGAUGGAUCCGCGCCGCAUUAGCUAGUUGGUAAGGUAACGGCUUACCAAGGCAACGAUGCGUAGCCGACCUGAGAGGGUGAUCGGCCACACUGGAACUGAGACACGGUCCAGACUCCUACGGGAGGCAGCAGUAGGGAAUCUUCCGCAAUGGGCGAAAGCCUGACGGAGCCACGCCGCGUGAGUGAUGAAGGUCUUCGGAUCGUAAAACUCUGUUAUUAGGGAAGAACAAAUGUGUGAGUAACUAUGCACGUCUUGACGGUACCUAAUCAGAAAGCCACGGCUAACUACGUG